AUUGAACGCUGGCGGAAUGCUUUACACAUGCAAGUCGAACGGCAGCACGGACUUCGGUCUGGUGGCGAGUGGCGAACGGGUGAGUAAUGUAUCGGAACGUGCCCAGUCGUGGGGGAUAACGUAGUGAAAAUUACGCUAAUACCGCAUACGAUCUAUGGAUGAAAGCGGGGGAUCGCAAGACCUCGCUCGAUUGGAGCGGCCGAUAUCAGAUUAGGUAGUUGGUGGGGUAAAGGCCCACCAAGCCAACGAUCUGUAGCUGGUCUGAGAGGACGACCAGCCACACUGGAACUGAGACACGGUCCAGACUCCUACGGGAGGCAGCAGUGGGGAAUUUUGGACAAUGGGCGAAAGCCUGAUCCAGCCAUUCCGCGUGCGGGAUGAAGGCCCUCGGGUUGUAAACUGCUUUUGUACAGAACGAAAAGGUUUCUACUAAUACUAGGAGCUCAUGACGGUACUGUAAGAAUAAGCACCGGCUAACUACGUGCCAGCCGCCGCUGUAA
rnacentral:rRNA from 1 species